CGGUUAAAAAGCUCGUAGUUGGAUUUCUGCGGGAGACGAAGGGUCUACCUUACGGGUAAGUAUCUCUCAGGCUCCUGCAUCCUCAACAGGAAUGUCGCUGCGAUUCAUUUCGUGGUACGGUACUGUUGACUUUUACUUUGAGGAAAUUAGAGUGUUCACGGCAAGCAAACGCGUGUAUACAUUAGCAUGGAAUAAUAAUAUAGGACCUUGGAUCUAUUUUGUUGGUUUCUAGAACUAAGGUAAUGAUAAAUAGGGACAGUUUGGGGGCAUUUGUACUAACGCGUCAGAGGUGGAAUUCUUGGAUUGCGUUAUGACAAACUACUGCGAAAGCAUUUGCCAAGGAUGUUUUCAUUGAUCAAGAACGAAAGUAUGGGGAUCGAAGACGAUUAGAUACCGUCGUAGUCUAUACCAUAAACUAUGCCAACUAGGAAUGAGACGGAUGUAUAUUUUAUGACCCGUUUCGCGCCUUAUGAGAAAUCAAAGUUUUUGGGUUCCGGGGGGAGUAUGGUCGCAAGUCUGAAACUUAAAGGAAUUGACGGAAGGGCACCACCAGGAGUGGAGCCUGCGGCUUAAUUUGACUCAACACGGGAAAACUUACCAGGUCCAGACAUAGUAAGGAUUGACAGAUUGAUAGCUCUU
rnacentral:rRNA from 1 species